GAUGAAUGGGCGAGCAUGGCUGCUUCAUACAGCCUGUGUUAUUUUACAUGCAGGUUCACAUAAACAAAUGCAUGAACAUAAAAGCCAGGGGCCCGCCUGACUGUCUUUUAAAUACAGCCCACAGGAUCAUUUAUCUCACAGCUGUUCCAGGGCAGAGUUUACUUAACAAUCAAAAGCUGUCAAAGCAAAUACAUUAACUUGCAAAUAAGACAAUAACUCAGUCUCUGAAGACCAGAAACAAAGAAGACCGCAAGCUUAGCUCGCCUCCAGUGUUUGUGUUCUUUUCUUCCUGAGCAUGAUGCAAUGGAGAACCAGGAAUAAAACCUUCAAACAGGAAUUGGGCCUGCCAGAUUAUGCUAAAAGAAGAAGAGUGACACCGGAGGACAGGGAAAGAUUCAGAGUGCUCAAAGGAAAGGUAAGGAACCAAGAGGGACCAUGCAGAAGGCGGGAGCAAGAGUCAGAAGGAGCAGAGAAGAGGCAAAAAAACAACAACCCAGGGGGCUGGGGAGAUGGCUCAGCAGUUGAGAGCACCAGGUACUCUUCCAGAGGACCCUGGUUCAGUUCCCAGCAGCCACAUGGAAGCUCACAAGGGUCUGCAACUCCUGCUCCAGGGGAUCUAACCCCUCCCACAGGCAGACAAACAUGCGUGCAAAGCAUCAAUGUACAUGAAAUAAAAAUAAGUUAUAAAAAUAAGAGAGAGAGAGAGACUCAAAAUAAAGGGACUGUUUGAAAACUGAAUAUAGCAUUUGCCAUAAAUGAAGAAACUUUGCAAAAUGUAGUGACUCUGGCCUUUAUACAAAAAUUGAGAAACUGAGGCAGGAGAGUUGCAAAAUAAAUAUUUCAAGUUUAUCCUGAACAUUUUUAAAGGGCUUUUUACAAAAACAAACUGUAAAUAAUACACUAAUACUUAAUUAAACUAUAAACUUUAACUUUUAACAUCUGUAGUUAAUAGUACUAUAGAUUAAAAUAUGAUAGCAUCCGUAGUAACAUGAACGUAUUGUGUAUUUUUGUUUAUCCUGUUGUAUUCUGGGAGUGCUAGGCAAGAUGGCUACCACUAAACCACCCUCCCUAGCAUUUUUGGUUUAUUUUAUUCCAAGCUAUGAAAUCAAUUCUUCUACAGGGCUCUGUUUUUAUUUAUAACAAAAGUAAUUUUUGUUUACACUCAGUAUAUUGCUAGGGAAAAUAAUAUCAAUUGAUUGUUUUACCCAUGGAUACAUCUUUCAGUGUGGAUAAGGGAUUCAAGCAACACUGCUUUGCAUUGAACAAAGAAAGAUCAGACUAGGUGAUAGUUCAUAGUAACUCUUAGGUUGGUCACUACAGAGCCACAGACUUCAAUAUUUAUGUCUCUGUUUCACUGUAGCUAUGUUUAACAUAUCCAUAAAAGAUGCUUUGAUUAUUGAUUUGCUGGGCACAUGAGAGUACUGUACAUACGCUAGACUUCAUGCACGACUGUCCACCUUUCCCUGUCUCUGGAGGCAUCCUGGUUGGCUAAUAAGCAGAGGCCUACGUAAGGGAUGAGACUCUACAGAUGGAUCUGCAUAGUCAUACCAGUUACCUUUCCCUUUAACAAAAUGACUGACCAGAAUCUAGUAAUCAAGCUAGCAUGGGGAAGGGCUUUGGCAUCUUCUAUAAUUCUGUCUGAGGUGUCUUUACUUCCUAGCACCCAGCAAAUAACCUAGGGAAAACUGAGCGCUAAGAUUCUCAUAGGGCACAUAGACCAACUGAUAAGAAACUGCAGAUCUCACCCUCCUCCUGAUAGCUAAGAGGCACAGGUUUGGAGGUCUGCUGGUGUAGACUACCCUUUGGGAAGAAGAUUCACUUUCCAAAAGUAUAGAUUUUUGCCCCAAUUGAAGAAAAGUGUUUUCUUGAUUGUAUCUAUUCUUUCUUCUCUGUCAUACCCUAAUACUGGUUGCUGUGUUUCUUCCCUUUCUUUUUUCCUUAGUUCAACUGUCAACAUCUCAGAGAAGCAUUCCUGACCACAAAGGCAUUUGGCUUUGCCUUAGGAGUCUCCAAGUUAGACUUUGAUUAUUCUCCAAACCCUCAAAAAAACAUUGCAGUAGUUUAUUUAUUUGUUUUCUGUCUGUUACUUUCAGUGGCAUGUAAGCACUGUGCAGGAAUAUUUCAUCGAAAUGAAACAUACUCAGAUUUUACACUGGAAUGAAAUAGCUGGCCUCCCAAAUAAAAUAUUAACUGAAUACAUAAAUAAAUGGCUCCAUGGAGGUAGCAAGAAGAAUAGGCAAAUCGGUGUGCAAGCAAGAUGUGAUGGAAAGAGUUUUGAUUGGAAGAGUAGUGUCUAAUAACUUCAUUUUAUUAAUUAAAUUGGCUAAUAAAAUGGAGAAUGAAUAAAAAGAGCCUGUGACACAAAUACUCUAAACUUCUCUUUAAGUUACCUAGAAAAGAUAUUUCUAUUUCAAAUGUCUGAAGUUUCAUACCAAACACCCAUAAAGUAUUUCAGUUCUAUCUGGAGUAAGAAACAGACAAAUGGACCACAUUUUCUUGACAAAGAAACUUCGAAAAUCCAGGGACAAAUGUGCACUAGCAACUUCAAUGUAACCAAAGACUGGAGACUGCUGGCUUUGCCCCUAAGACCAGCUUUGGAUCAGCCACAUGCUAACUCGAGAGGCUACCUACAGAGACUUCACUGCCAGCUUCAUCUUUAAUUAUGAGAACACUCCUGAACAUUUACAGAAACUUGAACCCACAGCACUGUACAUUUAAUUAUCUAAAAAAUUAGAGAGAAAGAUAAGUGUUAAGAUUCCUCAGAGAAACACAACUAAUAUAUACAUGGAUGGUGCUGUUUAAUGUUGUGUCUCUGACAAAAUUAAUUUUUAAAAUCUAUAUGCUCUAUGACACAGAGCUGACUUCUCAAUCAAAAUCAUAAGCAGAAUUAGAAUGGUUUAAACUAUAUUUGAAACUGUAUAGAAUUUCUAUCUUUAAAUGUAGGGUUUCUUAAGAUACCAAAAACAAAUGAAAUAUAAAUUGGGAACAGAGUACAUCCUAGAAUAAUUAGUUAUAGUACUAACCUACCAUUUAGCUUCCUUCCCUAUUAGAAAAAAAUAGCUUUUCAUUGAAGUUGCUAUAACCAGUGGCUCUACUCAUUGUUCUAUAUCAUAUUACUAUUCUUCAGACCCUUUGUUAGCAAAAAAUAACAUGUUCCCCCAAAACACUCAAUAUACCUAUAGAUUAAGUGAUUGUGGAAGCUCGGUUUUUCCCAAAGCAAGCUUUGGUCAUUAUGAUUCAUUUUUACAUAUUAAUUUUUCUAUGCUGUUAACUUCCUUUUUAAAAUUGUUACAAAGCCUCAUACAUUAUAUAUAAUUGUAUCAAAACACAUCAUAUUGCCAUGUAAAUUGGAUUGUCAAGUAAAAUGUAAUAAUCUUUGACCUUACCCCAGCCAUUGACAUCAAUUUAAAAAAAAUAUGCCUACAGGCUUUUAAACCAUACAACUUCCUAAUGUAAAGAACAUAUCUCUUUAGAAAAUUCCCUGUUACAAGUCUCUUACUACCUGUUUACUGUGUACAAAAUUGUGAUCGCUGUUACUCACUUUUAAAAGCCCAUGCAUAUACAUGUGCACAUAUAUGUAUACAUAUAUAGCCUACAAUUAAGUAUAGUGAUGGUAUUAUUUUGAAAAUGUGUUGGUUCAUUUUUGCUUUAAUGUGCACAUAUAGGGAAAAGAAGUUACACAUUUUCAAAUAGCCUCAAUCCUCUCAGAUAAGACAAUUUAACAACAGAGAGAGAGAGAGAGAGAGAGAGAGGAGUAUUUCCCAUGGGAGGCCCUCCUUUUGUUGCAUCUAGAGGUUGACAAGGGUCAAUUCACAGGAAAGCAGACAUAAGUGACAUUCAAGGCAAACCAGCUCCAAUAUAGCUCACUUCCCAGGAGAACAUUACACUUCUCUAAGACACUGCAAAUGUUUUAAGGACAGAAAAGCACAAUGCCUGUCAAAGUGUCUUGUGUAUGCUAAAAAAGACAGGGAAUUUAAGGAAAGUCUUUGACAUUUAACAGAGAAUCAUGCUUCCACAAUCUCCCCUCCUCCAACUUGACACCUAAUUAAGCAUCAAUACAAAACAAUGUAAUGGAACAGAUGUACUAGCCAUUAGCAGGAAUUACCCACUCUCCUAUCAAAUCAGAGUAUACAGAGAGGGCUCUAUUUGUAAUAGGUUGACUUAAUUGCCUGAGCAUUCCCUGGGGAAAUGGACAGAUAGAUCAGGACAUGUCACACAUGCUCACCCACAGACUCGUUUUGUCACCCACCCCUCCUCCACUGGGAUCCACACCUUUGUCAUUGAUACAUUCAUCUUUUCUAAUGAGAGCCGAUAGUGGCCGCGAAUCAGCUAUACAACAUCAAAUGGUUAGAUAAAAAAAAAAAAAAUAGAAAAAAGUAUACAAAAGUAGGAUUUAUUUUUAACGAUAGUUCAAUAUUUUUUCUAUAUGCCAGUGCUUUCCAUAAUAUAGAUAUUUAGGUUUUUAAGUAAAAAUAUAGUAAAAUAAACAAAAAUAUUCUUUAAAAAAUGUGAAAAUGGGGCAGCAGAGAAUUAUAUAUUCUGGAAAUUUGCUGUGAUUCAUAACUAUUGUAGUUUCACAAUUUGUGAAUUAAAUGUCUUACAUGAUUAGAGGCAGCUCAGGAAUUCUGAAAUGAGAAAACCAACUCUCCUCCUGAAAACCUAAAACAAUUUAAUAUCUUUGUGUCCCUCAAAUGAAAAUCCAUUUUGGUCUUGAAUACAAUAUCUGUUGAGUGCAGUAACUCAGAAUACUCCUAUGAAACCUUUUAACAAAGUCACUUGUCAAGUAGGAAAUAAAAGAUUUCUAUAAAAGGUUAAAGAAGUAGCUAGAUUUAGAAUGUAGAAUGCUGGGUUCAGGGACUCAGCAGGUAAAGGCACAUGUCUUUUAAUGCCUGGAGAGGUGGCUUAAUCCGCAGGACCUUUAUGAUUGAAGUAGAGAACCAACUAACAAGUUAUCCCCUAACCUCCACAAUCACACCACAGUAUACAUGUGUCCCUCCUCACACAACAUAAAUGAUGAUGAUAGAUAGAUAGAUAGAUAGAUAGAUAGAUAGAUGAUAGAUAGAUAGAUCAUACAUUCAUUUAUACAUACAUACAUACAUACAUACAUACAUGGAGAUAGAUAAUAUAAAUAUGAAACAAAUUAAGGAAUAUAAGAUUUAUUCUUAAGGAUAUUAAAUUGGAUUUUAAUAUCUACAGUUAAAGCAGAUGAAAACUGUUAUUCCUAACUGGAAUCACAGACAGGAAGAAAACACAGGUACAGGAAUCCACCUUUAAAACUGCAUUUUUCAAGAGAGAGAAUGAGUUGAGUUUAUUCCUUAUCUAUUCUGUGACACAGAGAUCUGUGAUAGACAAAUUCAGGGCACUGCCACAAGUCCUAUUUCAGGCCCCUGGAGAUUUAGAAAGCAAUGGUGGCUGACUGCCUGUCAGGAUCUUAAGGGAGGGGGAAUGCCGGGGAUGGUUUCUUAUCACGUUAGCCCCUGAAGAAAUUCCCAAGUCCUAUCAACACAUGUAGAGAGGCAGGUUCCCAGAGCACAUAUCCAGCUACCUCAGCACAAAUAAGGGAAGGGCCCGGGGUUCAGUUGCCUCUCCAACUCUCCGGUAUAAGAUGAACCAAGAGGCUGCCUGCACUCAACUGUGCCCUCUCCAUGACACACCACACACAGCAUAAAUGGGACGCCUAAGUGCACACUGCUUUUAGUGCUUCACAGAGUCUGUGGUUCAAAGCAUUGGCAUCAUAAAUGUAAUGACUUCUUUGUGUUUAUUCUCCACAAGGUGCAAAUUUUUGCGGGUAUAGCAUGUGCUUUUUCUGUAUGUAGCGACAUGCUUUGUGCUCCCUAAAUAUUAUUUAUUUCAUUGUAGGUUGUCUUAAUUGCCUACAGCUCCGAACAGCAUGUCUGCAAUGUCUCUGGGCUGAAAAUCAGUUUACUGGUGAUCGCCUCAGGCUCCCCUGGCUCCAUGAAGCAGCUUAAUGACUGAAAACACACUGGCUGCCCAUCAAGGGGAUAAGACGACCCAUCACUGUGCUCUCUGUCAGAGAGCGUUGGCAGUACAGAAAAUAAUGUCAUGAAGGGGCUCUUUGGGGCCUCCAGCACAGCGCCUCAUGAAAAAUAUGAGAAAUCCAUAUUUCUUUCAAAAAUUGGCUGAUGUUUUAUAAUUCACAAGGUUUAGAAGGGGGUAAGAAAUACGGUAAGUCUCAUACUGCCAACUGUAGUUUUAAACCCCAUCAAAUAUAUUUCUAAAUUACGACAGCCUUUUAAUGGACUAGCUUCCAUCUUCGUAAAGGUCUUAAGCUGCUCAGGACACUGGUCACUUACACUAGCGAAGAAGCAAGCCUGCAUGCCCACAGCACCACUGUUAUCAUAAGGAUGAAGCAUCCUGGAUUCUGACAGUGAGUCUGUAACACUCAUAGUUUACAAUAUCUGUUGUCUUUGAUUUGCUUCCCAAAAGAAAAGGUCACGCUAUACUCAAAGUCAAACAACCAAAGCAAAAAAAAAAAAAAAAAAAAAAAAAAAAAAAAAAAUCCAUCCUUUGUAUAUGAACUCUAUCUUCUUUGCACAGUAAACAAACAACAGAUAUUCCAAAACAUCGGGCAUCUUAUUAAUUCAGAAGGGCCAGUAGAGGCUCAAGUAUUCUCACUUUGAAAAGAGCAACCCCGUGUUUCUUUUCCACAUAUACACCUCUAUAUCUAAUGUGUUAGAAUAUAUGGCUUAGAGCUUUGAAUCUGCUUGCACUUGGCUAUUUCCCUGGGAUUUUUCCUUCCUCCUUUCUUCUCAAACAUUGACAAAUACAAUAUUCUGCUUUUAACAGCAUUCUAGCCAACAAUUGAUGAAAAUGAGUUGUUCUGAACAAUGCUGGUUUAGAGACAAUGGAGGAAAGCAGAGGGAAAAUUAAUAUGAUUUUAGCACAAAUGCUGAGCGAUGAUUGGAGGCUUAUUAAUCCUUUACCACGUAAAAAGUUUUCCACCAUUCAGUAUGCUAGAUUAAUGGCAUGCAUUUGACCAUAAAUGAUAUAUGCUGCUUGCCUACUUCUAACUUAUGCUCUAAUGCAAAUAUUAUCGAUUGAACCUUCUUGUGUAGUAUCUCUCUCUCUCUCUCUCUCUCUCUCUCUCUCACACACACACACACACACACACACACACAGACAUACAAACAAAACCAAAGGUUACCUUAUUUCCACUGAAGCUAAUCCAUCAUGCAAAUCUUGUCAAAGAAAUUCUAUAGACUGUACAAAAUUGCCAGGUUAUAUUCUAAAUAAAAAUUUAUUCUUCACUAUCUAGGUCAUACUGUCAGUUGUUAAUAUCUAACAUCUAUUCUUUCACAAAAUUAAAAAAAA